GAACGAGUAAAUCUCAUCCUAAUCUGGUUGACACAACACAAGGAAGUGCUACCGAUUUGGCUUGGGAUUGACUUGUGG
rfam:Caenorhabditis remanei strain PB4641 contig60.8, whole genome shotgun sequence.